rnacentral:lncRNA from 1 species
UACUUUUGAUCCAUAUGAAAGACUCAAAAAACAGGCAUAUUUUCAAACAGCCUUCUUCACCAUCAGUGAUGUACCUGUGCUUGAUGUUACUAUUCUUCACAAAAUGUGAUAAUAAUGUUAACUGUUAACAUAAAAACAAAGUUUGGCUCUGCAGAAGCGGCUGGAAACGAAUAACCACAAUAUACUUAGAUCUCUUGGUUUGGUUUGGCAUAUACUGCUCAUAUUCCUAAAUAUACUACUCAUAUUUAGGAAUUCUUCUAAAUGAAAUACUUAUUUUGUGUCUCAGCUGGUGUGCUUAAGGGAAUAUUCAUUUUUCAGCAGUAACAUGGAAUUUGAUUUUUUUAAAUUUUUUUUAUAAAUUUAGUGGAUUGAAACACUUUGAACAAA